ACUGACACUUCCGUCGCUCAAUAUUUCUGCUGAUUUUAAAGCGACGUUGAAGGUUGUCCACUCUGACAUUCUCUCCUUGUUGGCCAAAAAUGUUGAACUGAAGGCCAGGAGUACUCAAUAUCUUCGUGCUGCAUCUGAAAGAGAGACUUUGCUUCUAGAGAUUAACAAAGUCGAAGACGAAUUGAAAGAAAUCUCUUCUGAAGUUAUGAUCGAAGACUCUCUGAUCACAAGUUUGGCUGCAAAGAUGAAAGAGUUUCAAGCAAAAAUGGAUGAUUGUAGGGCGAGAAUGGCUGCUAAAAAGCGUAAUGUUUCCCAAGGAAUUGAGUGAACCAAGUCUUUAGUUGAGCAGUAUAAAAAGCUGGAGGUUGAUGACGAUUUUAUAGCUGAAUUAAA
rnacentral:lncRNA from 1 species